rnacentral:rRNA from 1 species
CGUAGGGAACCUGCCCAUGCGGCCGGGACAACUUCCGGAAACGGAUGCUGAUACCGGAUAAGGAAAGCGAAGGCAUCUUUGCUUUGUUAAAGGAGCUGCAAGGCUCCGCGCAUGGAUGGACCUGCGGUGCAUUAGCUGGUUGGUGAGGUAAAGGCUCACCAAGGCGACGAUGCAUAGCCGGCCUGAGAGGGCGAACAGCCACACUGGGACUGAGACACGGCCCAGACUCCUACGGAAGGCAGCAG